rnacentral:rRNA from 1 species
GGAAGGCAGCAGGCGCGCAAAUUACCCACUCCCAGAACGGGGAGGUAGUGACGAAAAAUAACAAUACGGGACUCUUUUGAGACCCCGUAAUUGGAAUGAGUACACAUUAAAUCCUUUAACGAGGAUCCAUUGGAGAGCAAGUCUGGUGCCAGCAGUCGCGGUAAUUCCAGCUCCAAUAGCGUAUAUUAAAGUUGUUGCGGUUAAAAAGCUCGUAGUUGGAUCUCAGAUCCGGCCGGACGGUCCGCCUACCGGUGGUUACUGUUCGUUGCCGAUCGUUCAGGCGGUUAUUCUUGAUGAUCUUCACCGGUUGUCUCGGGUGACCGCCAAGUUUACUUUGAAAAAAUUAGAGUGCUCAAAGCAGGCGUGACGCCUGAAUAAUUGUGCAUGGAAUAAUGGAAUAGGACCUCGGUUCUAUUUUGUUGGUUUUCGGAACACGAGGUAAUGAUUAAGAGGGACAGACGGGGGCAUUCGUAUUGCGACGCUAGAGGUGAAAUUCUUGGACCGUCGCAAGACGAACUACUGCGAAAGCAUUUGCCAAGAAUGUUUCCAUUAAUCAAGAACGAAAGUUAGAGGUUCGAAGGCGAUCAGAUACCGCCCUAGUUCUAACCAUAAACGAUGCCAGCCAGCGAUCCGGCUGUGUUCCUCAAAUGACACGCCGGGCAGCUUCCGGGAAACCAAAGCUUUUGGGUUCC